CUUGUGAUUAACAGUGAUGCAACAAGAGUUAUUAAAAGGUAGUUAGCAAAGCAGAGCAGGCAAGCUGUUCUAAACUUAGUGUAACCUGAAGCAAGCAAUGAAGUAUCCUCUGGUUCCUUUGGUGAAUGAUCUGACCUUUCCUCUUCUUUUCUUCUGGUUUUGUUUGCCAUUUGUAAUGCUGUUGAUCAUACUGAUUAUCUGGCUACAGCUUCUACUUAAUGAAGCACAGAUGACCAGUGCAGAAGAAAUAACAAAACAACCUUCUGAUGACCCUGAUUCUGACUCUAAAUUUGAGGAUGAACCAACAGAGGAAGAAAAACAGUCCAGGACAAAAAUACAAGAGGAGAUGGAAUCCAAUGGAUCUAUGGGAAAACUAAGGCCCAAGCCAGUUUAUCUGCGUCCAAAUCCAAAAAGUCAAAACCAAAGUCUUUUUGCUGUAAUCUCAGACAGCUGGUUGCGGAGCCAGAAGAUAAAAUACUCCCAUGCUGAGCAGAGUGAUUUCUUUAACAUCACGAUGACGGGGCUCAGAAGGGAAAGCUGGUCUGUGCUUCCACUGGCACUAUUCACAGUCCUGUCUGUUCACUCAUUUACAUUGCUGGGAGUUUUGAACUGCAGCAGCUGAGCUGUUGUGCACCAUUCUUUCUUCUCUCACCUGGAACUUUGCCUGCCAGUUGCUCCAGAUCUCUAAUGUCCUGAGGAUUCAACUGCUGCUAUCCUGUCUGAUUAUCUACAUGCCUCAGCUGUUUGUCUUGCUGAGUGAAAAAGUUGUGAAAAUCCUGGGCUCCCUGAGGCUUGAAGAGCAGAGGUCUGUUGGCUUCAGUCUUGGGGAGGAAACUGGAAAAGAGUGGUGAAGCUCAGAGAACCACCUCACGGUGAAAUAAAGCAGGUAGCCCCACAACCAUCAGCAGCAAUACUGCUCAGCAUUGGUGAGAGCUACUGCAGCAUGGCAGAGACGUUAAUUCUCUGAAAAGGAAACUUUCUCAAGCCUAAGUCAAUGUGCAGUCGGGUCACAGCAGCUACUUUCAGAGUGAACUGUAUCGACUGGCUAGGUAUUAUUUAGAUAACAGCAGCCAGCCUCUUGUCUGGCACUUGGGUACCACCUACUCUGCUCCCCUCCCACUUUACAGAGGGAUGAGUUUCUUUUUUAUAAGGAUCAAGCACCACACUGGCACCAGUGAUACUCUCUGUUCACCACUACUGCUCUGAUUUCAAACAAAUAAGAUCAAGGCAAUAGCUCUCAGUAAUGCUUCUUACUGGAGCUUAAAUGCAGUAUAGCCUGGUGAUUAUUUUGCCCAUACUGCAACUAGCACUCUUCUGAUCUCCCACUUGUCAGUUGUCAGUGUAGGAAACAAUCCCACCUCCCAUUAACAAGCAAUAAUUAACCCCUCAGCAGAUCUUGAGUAUACAUUUCCUUAAUUUGUGUUCAGGAUGCGCUUUUUCAGCACAGCUGCCAGGCUGAUACAAGGUUAGAUUAUGGUCCAAAGUGGCCAGCUGGUGAGACUGGGAUGAGACAUAAUUUUGUGGCCUAAGGGUUUAUCCGAUUGUCAGGCUAUGAGCAGAACAGCUGUUUGCUCCUAGUGUUGAUGCACACAUUCAACAAACUCCUUUUUAAGAGGACCUGAAUUAGGAAGUCCCAUCCCAAAGAGCACAUUGCUGCUUGUGGAAAAGGUUUGUCUCUGCUCCUCGUGGGAAGUAGCUGUGUCUUGUACGUGCAUGCUGCGGAACAUUUGCCACCAGCCUUCACUAAUUAUGAACCAUGCCUUGUUUAUGUUGUUUUUCCUCCUCAACCCCUGAACUCCACAUGUCUAAAUAUUUGUCCAGAGCAGUAUGCUCUUAAAUAAAACCUGUUUGUCCACGCC